UAAAAGUUUUUUAACUUUAAUAUUUAAUUUAAAUUAAUAUAUAAAUAAAUAAUUGUAUAAUUUUUAUAAAAUUUAAAAUUUUAUAUUUAAUGUAGAUUUGUAAUAUUUUUAUAUUAAAAAUUAAAGAAAUUUAGAUUUAGUAAUUAAAUAAGAAUAAUUGAUAAAAUUUGUGCCAGCAAUCGCGGUUAAACAAAUGAUUAAAUAAAUAUUUUUUUAUUUUAAUUAAUAUGAGUGAGUAUGUUUUUAAUAAUUAAAAUAAAAUUUUAAAUUUUUAGGUAAAAUUUUAAUUUAAAUGUAUUUUAAAAAAUUUAAAAUUAAAAAAUAAAUGAAAUUAAUAAAAUAAUAAGUAAACUAGGAUUAGAUACCCUAUUAUUGUUAAAAUAAAGGAAAAGUAAAAAGUAUUAAUAAGGUUAUUUUAUAAAUUUAAAAAAAUUGGCAGUAUUUUAAUCUAUUUAGAGGAAUUUGUUAUGUAAUUGAUAAUCCACGAAUAAAUUUACUUAAAUUAUUUAGUUUGUAUAUCAUUGUUAUAAAAGCUUAUUUAGAAGUUUAAAGUUUAAUAUUUUUAAAAAAAAGUUAUAUCAAAUCAUUAUGCAGUUUAUGUUUAAGAUUUAAAUGAAUUAUAAUGAAUUUAUUUUUGAAUAAAAAAUUGAAAAAUUUUUUUGAAAUUAGAUUUAAAAGUAAUUUUAUAUUAAUUUUAUAAAAUGAUUUAGUUUUAAAAUAUGCACAUAUUGCCCGUCAUUUUCAUUUUAAAUUGAAACAAGUCGUAACAAAGUAGAAUUACUGGAAAGUGUUUCUAGAAUGUU
rnacentral:ncRNA from 1 species